AGAGCGAUGAAGCGGAGGUUGCCAAGCCUUGUAUAAGACAAGGGUUUUCCGUGGAGCGAUGUCCAGUUCAAGAAACCGGGCGACAA
rnacentral:ncRNA from 1 species